rnacentral:rRNA from 1 species
UCCAGACUCCUACGGGAGGCAGCAGUGAGGAAUAUUGGUCAAUGGACGAGGGUCUGAACCAGCCAAGUAGCGUGAAGGAUGACUGCCCUAUGGGUUGUAAACUUCUUUUAUAAAGGAAUAAAACGAGGCACGUGUGCCUUUUUGCAUGUACUUUAUGAAUAAGGAUCGGCUAACUCCGUGCCAGCAGCCGCGGUAAUACGGAGGAUCCGAGCGUUAUCCGGAUUUAUUGGGUUUAAAGGGUGCGCAGGCGGAGGUGCAAGUCAGCGGUCAAAUUGCGGGGCUCAACCCCGUACUGCCGUUGAAACUGCAUCCCUUGAGUGCGCGAGAAGUAUGCGGAAUGCGUGGUGUAGCGGUGAAAUGCAUAGAUAUCACGCAGAACUCCGAUUGCGAAGGCAGCAUACCGGCGCGCAACUGACGCUCAUGCACGAAAGCGUGGGUAUCGAACAGGAUUAGAUACCCUAGUAU